rnacentral:rRNA from 1 species
UUGGAGGGCAAGUCUGGUGCCCGCAGCCGCGGUAAUUCCAGCUCCAAUAGCGUAUAUUAAAGUUGUUGCAGUUAAAAAGCUCGUAGUUGAAUUUCGGGAUCAGAUUGUCGGUCGUGCCUCGGUACGCACUGGCAUUAUUGGUUCCUACCUUCUGAAGAACCGCGAUGUCAUUAAUUUGGUGUCGUGGGGAAUCAGGACUGUUACUUUGAAAAAAUUAGAGUGUUUAAAGCAGGCGCACGCUUGAAUACAUUAGCAUGGAAUAAUGAAAUAGGACGUUUGAUUCUAUUUUGUUGGUUUCUAGGAUCGACGUAAUGAUUAAUAGGGAUAGUUGGGGGCAUUAGUAUUCAAUUGUCAGAGGUGAAAUUCUUGGAUUUAUUGAAGGCUAACUACUGCGAAAGCAUUUGCCAAGGAUGUUUUCAUUAAUCAAGAACGAAAGUUAGGGGAUCGAAGAUGAUCAGAUACCGUCGUAGUCUUAACCAUAAACUAUGCCGACUAGGAAUCGGAUGAUGUUAAUUUUUUAAUGACUCAUUCGGCGCCUUACGGGAAACCAAAGUGUUUGGGUUC